rnacentral:rRNA from 1 species
AGCAGCCGCGGUAAUUCCAGCUCCAAUAGCGUAUAUUAAAGUUGCUGCAGUUAAAAAGCUCGUAGUUGAAUUUCGGGACCAUCAUGUCGGUCGUGCCUCGGUACGUACUGGCAUUGUUGGUUUCUACCUUCUGACGAACCAUGAUGUCAUUAAUUUGGUGUCUUGGGGAAUCAGGACUGUUACUUUGAAAAAAUUAGAGUGUUUAAAGCAGGCUCGCGCUUGAAUACAUUAGCAUGGAAUAAUGAAAUAGGACGUUUGAUUCUAUUUUGUUGGUUUCUAGGAUCGACGUAAUGAUUAAUAGGGAUAGUUGGGGGCAUUAGUAUUCAAUUGUCAGAGGUGAAAUUCUUGGAUUUAUUGAAGACUAACUACUGCGGAAGCAUUUGCCAAGGAUGUUUUCAUUAAUCAAGAACGAAAGUUAGGGGAUCGAAGACGAUCAGAUACCGUCGUAGUCUUAACCAUAAACUAUGCCGACUAGGGAUCGGAUGAUGUUAAUUUUUAAUGACUCAUUC